UGCCCCAUGGCUUAGUUGGCUAUAGCGUCCGACUGUUAUGUUGCGUACUUUGCUUACGUGAUCGGAAGGUCGGGAGUUCGAGACUCCCUGGGGCAG
rfam:Fomitopsis pinicola FP-58527 SS1 unplaced genomic scaffold FOMPIscaffold_43, whole genome shotgun sequence.